UACGAAGGGGGCUAGCGUUGUUCGGAAUCACUGGGCGUAAAGGGCUCGUAGGCGGCCAACUAAGUCAUACGUGAAAUCCCUCAGCUUAACUGGGGAACUGCGUGUGAUACUGGAUGGCUUGGAUUUGGGAGAGGGAUGCGGAAUUCCAGGUGUAGCGGUGAAAUGCGUAGAUAUCUGGAGGAACACCGGUGGCGAAGGCGGCAUCCUGGACCAAUAUUGACGCUGAGGAGCGAAAGCCAGGGGAGCAAACGGG
rnacentral:rRNA from 1 species